rnacentral:lncRNA from 12 species
UGGAAUCCCUCAUGUUAAGCCCCAUAUCAAUAAACCAAACCUUACCUGCCUUUCUAUGCUUGGCUUUCCCAAAAAAGGAAAGCUUAGGUCAACCAAUCAGUGCUUGCCUGCACAAGUUACCUGACAAGGCUCUUUGCUUCAUACAAAAAAAGUAAAUCUACAGUAAGAACCUAUUUGCUUUUGCCCAGAAUAACUUCCUUGUUCCUGCUCACUUUGCUCUACAAAACCCUCUCGAACUGUACAACUCUUCGGAGCUUCAUUCUGUCUGCUGCCCAACUGGGUGCCGCCCGAUUCAUGAACCACUUCAUAAAGCCAAUAAGAUGUUUAAAUUCCACUCGGUUGAAGUUUGUCCUUUAACAUCUCUAUCAAGAAACCAUAAGUAGGAAUUACAUAUGGCAGCAAAAUGAAAUACUAUAUUAAACUACACAGACUUAUGACAAAGCAUCUAAAAGCUGCAAAAUCAAGGAUAAUCCGGUUUGUGGGAAGUUACUUAAGUUUGUUUUUACGGAUAUUAUUCAAUUUAAAAAGCAAAUAAUUAUGUACUUGGAGAGCAUGAAAAGAAGACAUAAGAGGAAUGCCAGAAGCAUCUGUGUUUUGGACAGAUCCUGCAUGACCCACGGUGCCUUCUCACUUCCUGCUGGAGUUAUUGCAAAAGGAAUCCAGGAGACAAUGGGGCUGCUGAACACUUUCCGGAAUCGGGGCAUGCCUGCUAUGGUAUCAGGGGCCCUUUUGCUCGGGGGCCUUUCCUGGGUUCCCCUCCAGGGUCACCAGCAUGGGUCACACUUCCUUCCCCCAAGCUGGCUUGUUCCAUCAGGCCUUUCAGGGAAACCAGCGGCUGCCGGUGGUUGAGACUUCUGCUCAUAUGUAGCCCUGGCGGAAAGAAAGCACUCUAGAAAGGGAUUAUAUAAUGGAUUGUAAUGACACUGCUUAUGGUGGUUGUUAUUUUGAAAUGUGUCCUGGAGUAAUAAUAUAUUUCAGCACUCAGUAUAGAUUUCACAUUCUCAAGCAAAAUCAAGUGUAGUAAGGAGGGAGCUCUCUGCCCCUAAAAGCUCUUGUUCUGAUGUCAUGCCUACAAUCCUAUCUCUUCCUAUAGGUUAUUUAAAUGUCUCCUGAGGUAACCAGUUGCAUGUAGCCAAACCCCUUUUUUAAUUGAGUUUUCUUUUUUAAGAUGAGUCAUAUAUCCCCCCAAAAAAGCACCAAUUCAGAAUAAAGGCAGGAACAUUCUAGACA